rnacentral:tRNA from 1 species
GGUUAUAGCUCAGCGGUAGAGUGCUUGUCUCGCACAUGUGAGGUGCUGGGUUCAAUCCUCAGCAUCA